GAUGAACGCUGGCGGCGUGCCUCAUACAUGCAAGUCGGACGGGUUUAGUUGUGUAGCAAUAUAUGAUUAAACUAGUGGCGAACGGGUGAGUAACACGUAGUUAACCUACCCUGAAAUUAGGGAUAACGUAUCGAAAGGUACGCUAAUACCGCAUACGCCCUGAGGGGGAAAGCGGGGGAUCGAAAGACCUCGCGCGAUUAGAGCGGCCGAUGCCUGAUUAGCUUGUUGGUGGGGUAAAAGCCCACCAAGGCGACGAUCAGUAGCUGGUCUGAGAGGACGAUCAGUCACACUGGAACUGAGACACGGUCCAGACUCCUACGGGAGGCAGCAGUGAGGAAUUUUGCGCAAUGGGGGAAACCCUGACGCAGCGACGCCGCGUGCGGGAUGAAGGGGGCUUUGCCUCGUAAACCGCUGUCGGAUAGGAAGAAAAACGGUAAGAACCGUCGGGACAGUACUAUCAAAGGAAGCACCGGCUAACUACGUG
rnacentral:rRNA from 1 species